rnacentral:rRNA from 1 species
ACAGAGGCGGCAAGCGUUGUUCGGAAUUAUUGGGCGUAAAGAGCAUGUAGGCGGCUAUGUAAGUCGGUUGUGAAAGCCUUCCGCUUAACGGAAGAAUGGCGGUCGAAACUGCAGGGCUUGAGUACGGGAGGGGAUAGUGGAACUUCUGGUGGAGCGGUGAAAUGCGUAGACAUCAGAAGGAACGCCGGCGGCGAAAGCGACUCUCUGGUCCGAAACUGACGCUGAGUGUGCGAAAGCUAGGGGAGCAAACGG